rnacentral:tRNA from 1 species
UGCGGGGUGGAGCAGUCUGGUAGCUCGUCGGGCUCAUAACCCGAAGGACGUAGGUUCAAAUCCUGCCCCCGCAACCA